AGUGAACGUUGGCGGCGUGGAUUAGGCAUGCAAGUCGAGCGAGAACCGUAGCAAUACGGGGACAGCGGCGAAAGGGACAGUAAUGUGUAGGUACCUACCUCCGGGUUCGGGAUAGCUGCGGGAAACUGCAGGUAAUACCGAAUAACGUCUCCGGACCAAAGGUGUGAUUCCACCUGGAGAGGGGCCUGCAUCCUAUUAGCUUGUUGGCGGGGUAACGGCCCACCAAGGCGGCGAUGGGUAGCGGGUGUGAGAGCACGACCCGCGUCAUUGGGACUGAGACACUGCCCAGACACCUACGGGUGGCUGCAGUCGUGAAUCUUCGGCAAUGGGCGCAAGCUUGACCGAGCGACGCCGCGUGCGGGAUGAAGGCCUUCGGGUUGUAAACCGCUGUCGUAGAGGAGGAAAUGCAGGGGGGUUCUCCCCUCUGUUUGACCUAUUCUAGGAGGAAGUACGGGCUAAGUUCGUGCCAGCCGCCGCGGUAA
rnacentral:rRNA from 1 species